CUUUUAUGAUGAGUUUCCACUUUAUGGUCCGUGUUUCUGAGACGGAUGAUUUUUGUGGAAGUUCUGAUUCG